GGGUCUACCCAUUGGUCAGGCUUAAUUGUCUGCACUGGUGAGAUGGAUCUCUACCUUCUGAGGAACUUUCAUGCCAUUUAUUUGGUGUGGUUGGAAAUCAGGGCUGUUACUUUGAAAAAAUUAGAGUGUUUAAAGCAGACUAUCGUCUGAAUACAUUAGCAUGGAAUAAUGAAAUAGGACGGACUGAUUCUAUUUCGUUGGUUUCUAGGAUCACCGUA
rnacentral:rRNA from 1 species